AUGCUCGCGGUGUGCGCCGCCGUGCUUCUGCUCGCCGUGGCGGCGGGCGGCGCGGCGGCGCAGGGCGUGGGCUCGGUCAUCACGCGGCAGGUGUACGACACCAUGCUGCCCCACCGGGACGACUCCAUCUGCGAGGCCAAGGGGUUUUACACGUACGACGCCUUCAUCGCCGCCGCCAGCACCUUCCCGGAGUUCGGCACCACCGGCAGCGCAGACGACGUGAAACGCGAGCUCGCUGCCUUCUUCGGCCAGACCUCGCACGAGACCACCGGAGGACCCCAGUUCCAAUGGGGCUACUGCUUCAAGGACCAGAUAGACAAGACCAUGCUUGCACCCUACUAUGGACGGGGACCGAUUCAAUUAACAGGGCAGUCCAACUACGAUCUCGCCGGCAAAGCGCUGAAAUUGGAUCUGGUAAACAACCCGAACCUGGUGUCCACGGAUGCCGAGGUGUCCUUCAGAACGGCCAUGUGGUUCUGGAUGACGGCGCAGGACAACAAGCCGUCGUGCCACGACGUUGCCCUCCGCCGCUGGACGCCGACGGCCGCCGAUACCGCCGCUGGGCGGGUUCCCGGCUACGGAGUGAUCACCAACAUCAUCAACGGCGGGAUCGAUUGUGGCAAAGGCAUGAACCCUUCGAACGUCGACCGCAUCGGCUACUACACGCGCUAUUGCGGCAUACUCGGCACGGCCACCGGGGACAACCUCAACUGCUACACCCAGCAGAACUUCGCUACCUAG
rnacentral:rRNA from 1 species